rnacentral:rRNA from 1 species
UGGGGAAUAUUGGACAAUGGGCGAAAGCCUGAUCCAGCCAUGCCGCGUGAGUGAUGAAGGCCCUAGGGUUGUAAAGCUCUUUCACCGGUGAAGAUAAUGACGGUAGCCGGAGAAGAAGCCCCGGCUAACUUCGUGCCAGCAGCCGCGGUAAUACGAAGGGGGCUAGCGUUGUUCGGACUUACUGGGCGUAAAGCGCACGUAGGCGGAUUGUUAAGUGAGGGGUGAAAUCCCAGGGCUCAACCCUGGAACUGCCUCUCAUACUGGCAAUCUCGAGUCCGGAAGAGGUGAGUGGAAUUCCGAGUGUAGAGGUGAAAUUCGUAGAUAUUCGGAGGAACACCAGUGGCGAAGGCGGCUCACUGGUCCGGUACUGACGCUGAGGUGCGAAAGCGUGGGGAGCAAACA